UACGUAGGGCGCAAGCGUUGUCCGGAUUCAUUGGGCGUAAAGAGCUCGUAGGCGGCUUGGCAAGUCGGGUGUGAAAACUCCAGGCUCAACCUGGAGACGCCACCUGAUACUGCCAUGGCUAGAGUCCGGUAGGGGACCACGGAAUUCCUGGUGUAGCGGUGAAAUGCGCAGAUAUCAGGAGGAACACCGGUGGCGAAGGCGGUGGUCUGGGCCGGUACUGACGCUGAGGAGCGAAAGCGUGGGGAGCGAACAGG
rnacentral:rRNA from 1 species